UGCUCACUCGCAGCCAUUCAUUGAGGUACCUUCAAGCCUCAUUUUGACGCUCGGCCUCAAGACUUCCAAGUCUCCCUGCUUCCAACAUGGAAGCAUGGAACUGCCAUUCUGGGGAUUUAUUUUGGCUUUCAUUGGGCUCCCUGUAGGAACCAGAAAACACAGACGCAGCAAAAAAUGAAAACAGGAUUCGGAAGGGGCGGAGGGAGAAGUUAACCAACCUUUUGUGAACCUGCACAGAAGAUUGCAAGCUCUCCAAGGCAAGGAGUCUCUUACCAUGCAUUUGUUCGGACAGCACCUAGCACAAUGGGGACUCAAAUUUGGAUGGGACCUUUAAGCACAACUGUAGGACAAAGAAAUAACAGCGAUCACAUGAAACCUCCCCAAACCGCUGACUUUCAGGGACGCCUGUAUCUUCCUAGGAGAGCUACUGAAGAGGCAAACGCUGCUUGGCAAUUUAAG